rnacentral:rRNA from 1 species
UACGGAGGAUCCAAGCGUUGUCCGGAUUUAUUGGGUUUAAAGGGUGCGUAGGCGGAUAUGCAAGUCAGAGGUGAAAGCUAGCAGCUUAACUGUUAAAUUGCCUUUGAAACUGCAUAUCUUGAGUAUAGUUGAGGUGGGCGGAAUGUAUCAUGUAGCGGUGAAAUGCUUAGAUAUGAUACAGAACUCCGAUUGCGAAGGCAGCUUACUAUGGUUUAAUUGACACUGAGGCACGAAAGCGUGGGGAUCAAACAGG